UACGUAGGGGGCAAGCGUUGUCCGGAUUUAUUGGGCGUAAAGAGCGUGUAGGCGGCCAUACAGGUCCGUUGUGAAAACUCGAGGCUUAACCUCGAGACGUCGAUGGAAACCGUAUGGCUAGAGUCCGGAAGAGGAGAGUGGAAUUCCCGGUGUAGCGGUGAAAUGCGCAGAUAUCGGGAAGAACACCCGUGGCGAAGGCGGCUCUCUGGGACGGUACUGACGCUGAGACGCGAAAGCGUGGGGAGCGAACAGG
rnacentral:rRNA from 1 species